UUCCUUUUGAUCAUUUUAAGCUCUUUUCCACAUCUUUUGAUUUCAUCAACUCUCUGCAAAAAGUGGAUAUUAGUGCAUUUAAGUACAAAUUAUGUCUCAUUUUAUUCAUUCAAAAAAAGUUAAUGUGCACAAAUGAUUAGUGUGAAUGAGUGGUAAAAUUACCCCUCAUCAACUACUUCAAUCUGACUCAAAGCUGUCCCCAAUUCCAAGUCACUGAGCAGGAGGAAUUAUAGUACGACCUAUUCUUCCAUUUCCUGGGGAUACAAUGCCCGAAGAUGGAUAGCAGGGUAAACACUAGCAUGUAACACAGGGAUAAAGAUAAAAUAAUGCCAUCAUUCAAAACCAAAUAAAAUAACCAUAUAUAAUCACAUAUAUACAUAUGUAUAUCGUACCGG
rnacentral:lncRNA from 1 species